CAGACCAGUGGUGACCACUGGUGACGUAUGUGUUAUGGCUGAUGACAGCUUUGGAAGUCUGAGGUCCAC
rnacentral:snoRNA from 1 species